AUCACUUCUUGGCCUUUCGGCUAAGAUCAAGUGUAGUAUUUGUUCUUAGUUUAAUAUCUAGUCUGUCCUCUAUCUGAAGACAUUAUACUAAGUGGAUUUUUGGAGCUGGGAGAUGGAAUAGGAGCUUGCUCCAUCCACUCUGCACAUCGAGCUGCUAUUGCAGUACUUCCAGGAACAGUGAACCAAAU